rnacentral:lncRNA from 1 species
UUUUGACUUCAAGUCUCAUCAAACUCAAUGGAUCUUGGAUCUUAAUGGGGUGAAAACCCUAAUCCACCAAAAUGGAUGAUUGAUUUUGAUGAUGACUUGAUUAAAUUUGUGGUUCAAUUUGGGUGUGAUUUCUCUUGUCUUCUUCUUCUUCAUAUCCUUCUUUUCUCUUUGAUCAAUUGGAUGGAUUGUGUCCAUCUUGUUCAUGAUGUAUGGAUUGGUACUUGAUGAACUUUCAUCAUUUUAAAUCUACCUUCUAAAUGAUCAUUUAUCAUUUAAGAUACUUUGGAUUGAUGCAUAAGAUUGUCCUAACUGUCAUGAAAUGUGGAUUGAAGUAAUGGACCAUCCUCAUAGCCUUUGUGCUUGAUCUUCCCCUUUCUUUUUCUUUUCUUGUUUGGCAUAGCUUUAGGAGGAAGAUUUACAUAUCAUUUCUCUAGUAUGUAUUAACACAAAAAUUAUUACUGAU